rnacentral:tRNA from 1 species
ACCUGGCUGGCUUAGUUGGUAGAGCAUGCGACUCUUGAUCUCACGGUUGUAAGUUCAAGCCCCACACUGGGUG